rnacentral:rRNA from 1 species
AUUGAUUAUAAAAGCAAAAAAUUAUGGCGGUAUCUUAAGCUUUUCANAGGNNUUUGCUCUUUAAUGGAUAAAACACCUAAAUCUUACUUUGAUUAGUUAAAUCAAUUUGUAUACCACUAUUAAAAUAAUAAUAUACAAUUAUUAUUAGAAUAUAAAACAUAUAAAAAAUUAAGUCAAGGUGCAGUAAAAAUCAAAGAAUGAAGUGAAUUACAUUUCUUUUUAGAAAAAAAAAUUUGAAAUUUAAUUUAGGAUUUGAAAGUAAAAUUAAAAUAGAAGGUUAAUUUUAAUUAAGUUCUAAAAUAUGCCCUUUUCGCCCGUCCCUCUUUUUAAAAUAAGUCGUAACAUAGUA